rnacentral:rRNA from 1 species
CACGUAGGGCGCAAGCGUUGUCCGGAAUUAUUGGGCGUAAAGAGCUCGUAGGUGGUGAGGUAAGUCGGAUGUGAAAUCUCGGAGCUCAACUCCGAAACUGCAUUGGAAACUACCUCGCUCGAGGGUUGGAGGGGGGACUGGAAUACUUGGUGUAGCAGUGAAAUGCGUAGAUAUCAAGUGGAACACCAGUGGCGAAGGCGAGUCCCUGGACAACUCCUGACACUGAGGCACGAAAGCUAGGGGAGCAAACAGG